AUGCUAUGGAUCACAUGACAGGUAACCUUUAAAAUUUUUUUCUAGUUUUCGACCACACAAAGCAUCUUAUUCUGUAACUAUUGCCAAUAGGUCGACCUAUAAUAUUGUGGGAUCGGGGACCACGAAACCAACAUUAUCUAUUACCCUGUCAUCUGAGCUUAAGUCUACUUAAACUUGUCUUAAUCUAAUUUCUAUAAGUAACUUUACUAAAAAUA
rnacentral:lncRNA from 1 species